GGAUCAGGCAAAUCUGGCCAUAAACAAGAGAUGGAGUCUGGCUAUGUUCCCCACACCGGUCUUGAACUCCUGGCCUCAAGCAAUCCUCCCUCCUCGGCCUUCCAAAGUGUUGGGAUUACACGUCUGCGCCACCCCAUCUGGCCUAAAAUGUUUUGAAUUAAUGAAAACAGUACUGUACCAAUCAAGAGAAGUAGGAUGGAGGAUCUGGUGAAAAAGAGAUUGCUUCUGACAAGCCUGCCCGCUGCGUGGCUUUUCCAGCUACACUGACUAGCAUUGUGUUCACCUGGAGAGAGGAGAUUCUAAACCAUCCACUCCCUGCUGAUCCUUAGUUUCUGGCUGGUGACACACCAGAAGGAUAGGAUGGCUCCAAUCUCCCUGAUGAAGGGGUAAUCACCUGACUUUCUCUUGGAAACAGAGGCACUGGUUCAGGUCCACAACAUUGAACUUGGAGAGCAAUAACCUCUGUGUGCACAGUCACUGCUGGCUGAAUCAAAAGGCAGGCAUUAGGGAUAAACACUGUCUUUUAAGAAUAGGAGUGAAUGUCUAUACAUUUCUGACAAACGCAGUUUUAUUUAAACAAAAAAAAAAGUGGAGACUGGGAAGACCAGAGAGGGAGGGGCAAAUGAAGGGGCAAAGGAAAGAAGCCCAGUUUCUGGAAUUAUUCAACUAAGUAUGCUUUUAAAAGCUAACAACCACAAAACCCUAAGCCAAACCCUGUUUACUGGCCCCUUGCUAGCCUUGUGUGUUUGCACUCUUGCUCCAUAACGGCUUGUAAAUACCA
rnacentral:lncRNA from 1 species